rnacentral:snRNA from 1 species
GUGCCCACUAAGGCAGCACACAGAGUGAAAUUGGAGCAGUAUAGAGAUAGUUAGAAUGGCUUCUGAGUAAUGGUGACGUGCAUAUUCAGAAUACACCCCUUAUUUAA